CGGGCUGAUGAGGGCGAGGGGCUUUGUCCCGGCGCGGGGACAGCGAGGCACGGCUGGGGCUGAGCCCUGCCCCGGGGUCCCCGGCACGGCAGCAGCCCCGGCACCGCUAUUUUUAGUGGGGCCGAAUUCCUGCCCGGCACCAUCCCUGCUGCAGGGACAGCUGGGGACAGCUCGGCUUUCCCCCCCUGCCCUGCCCUGGCCGGAGUAAGCGGGUGAUGAAACACGGCGGGGAUGGUCUCACUGCCCCGGCACACCGGGAUCCAGCGCGGUUGGGAAUGUCAGGGCUGAUUAAGCUGAGAAUCGGGAGCUGUGAGCCCGAUCUCCAGUCACUUGGUGAGGUCAGCUGUGACAUGCAGAGAGCAUCGCUGGGGAGCUGCUGGAGGGCACUGGAGGGCCCGCUGAAUCCAGAGAGCUGGAGGUGGAAAGGGCAAGGAGAGAUUCUCUGCUCAGCUGAGCCAGCACUCUCAGAAGCAGCUGAUGAACCCCAGCAAGGAGAUUUCAGCUCUCCGAUACAACUCAGACCCGAGUGCCAAAGGCUCUUGCAGUGUCUUUGCUGAGAGUCAGUGACAAUUCACACUUCUGGUGUGAGAAAUUUCCAGCACCGAAUGUCACUGAUGAACGCUGUGUUGGUGCUGGCAGUGAAGCUGCCUUACCUGAGCCAUUCUCAUCUUUGCCAGGAGAUCUGUGCAGUUCUGCACCUGGAGUUAUUCCAUUGACCAAAUACAAUCAAACUCGCUGCACUGGAGGCAGCAGCAGCUCAGCAGGCUGUGAAAGAACUGUACCAACUGGUGGGCAAAGGAAGCUUACCCUGCUCUUUUAAAAUGAGCUGGGUUUUCCCUUUACCGGUUUCCAGGGCUUAGAAGUGUCAGUUAAAACAGUGCUAGCAUAUCAUGUCGUGCAUGUAAAAUAUAGGGGAUUUGCAUGAAGGUUUAUUGCAAUCCAGGUACAGUUUGCACUGCCUUUAAUUUGAAAUCUGCCUUGGUGGCUGGAGUGUCCUGGUGGAGAUGGCUCUGUGCUCGGGAUGCUGACUUGUGUCUUCAGAUUGCCUCCUCAGUUCCUCACUUUGCAGUGAGCAGCUCUCUGUUUUAAGGGAAUCACUUCAGGUCUGGGCUUGCAACACAAUUUCUUUAACUAACUCAAAUAUUGAGACACGAAUCUGA